rnacentral:rRNA from 1 species
AAACUUUCAACAACGGAUCUCUUGGCUCUGGCAUCGAUGAAGAACGCAGCGAAAUGCGAUAAGUAAUGUGAAUUGCAGAAUUCAGUGAACCAUCGAAUCUUUGAACGCACAUUGCGCCCGCCAGUAUUCUGGCGGGCAUGCCUGCCCGAGCGUCAUUU